rnacentral:lncRNA from 1 species
GACGUCACCCCGUACAUGAACCCGUGCCCCUACACAGUGUCCCCAAACACGCAUGUGUCUCAAGUUUUUAACCUGCUCAGGACCAUGGGCCUCCAACACCUGCCUGUGGUCAAUGCCGUAGUAGAGAUUGUGGGAAUAAUCACACGACACAAUUUAACCCAAGAGUUCCUUUUGGUGAAACUCAGACAGCACUACAUCACCAUUUGAGCUCCAGAGUCCAGUCUUUAAAGCCGACAAGAGCCGCCUGCGUCUUGCUGUCCUUGGGACACAAUCCCCCCUGUAACUGGACCUGUACCAUGCUUUUCCAUGUCUUAUCCAUUACACACACCCAACCGCACGGCAUCCAUUCUCUGUAUGAGAUAAUAGGCACACACCCCUUGUAAUGAAGCUGGUGACUUUUGUCUGCUGCAGAGCCUUCCAUCACCCAAAGAUGUCCUCCGUGUCCCAACACAUUUCCAUGCUUUACCAACCAACCAACCAACGAUUCAUCAUCAUUAUCACUGUAGCACUUUUGUUUAGAUUUCUGACUGUAUUUUUUUUAUUUUAUGUUUACUGUAUAUUUAGAUGUUCUAUUCUAUAUAUUUGCACUAAAACCAUUUCACUGAAAAUGGUGGAUGUCUCUUUGUCAGUAUUAAUCCUUAAGAGUCUAUUGGCGUACCCGUGUGUCAAUCUAUGUAACAUAACAAAAAUACCCCCAUCAAAAUCUGUCAGGUUAAGCUAG